rnacentral:rRNA from 1 species
UACGUAGGGUGCGAGCGUUGUCCGGAAUUAUUGGGCGUAAAGAGCUUGUAGGCGGUUUGUCGCGUCUGCUGUGAAAAUCCGGGGCUCAACCCCGGACUUGCAGUGGGUACGGGCAGACUAGAGUGUGGUAGGGGAGACUGGAAUUCCUGGUGUAGCGGUGAAAUGCGCAGAUAUCAGGAGGAACACCGAUGGCGAAGGCAGGUCUCGUGGGCCACUACUGACGCUGAGAAGCGAAAGCAUGGGGAGCGAACAGG